GGCUAAGACAAAAUCACCCAGAAUGUACCCGAUCUCAUCAGAUCUUGGUAGUUAAGCAGGUGUGAGCCUGGUUAGUGCUUGGAUAGAUGACCAGCAUGCAUGCCAGGUUGCGAUAGGCA
rnacentral:rRNA from 1 species